UGGGGAAUAUUGCACAAUGGGCGCAAGCCUGAUGCAGCCAUGCCGCGUGUGUGAAGAAGGCCUUCGGGUUGUAAAGCACUUUCAGCGAGGAGGAAGGUGGUGAACUUAAUACGUUCAUCAAUUGACGUUACUCGCAGAAGAAGCACCGGCUAACUCCGUGCCAGCAGCCGCGGUAAUACGGAGGGUGCAAGCGUUAAUCGGAAUUACUGGGCGUAAAGCGCACGCAGGCGGUUUGUUAAGUCAGAUGUGAAAUCCCCGGGCUCAACCUGGGAACUGCAUUUGAAACUGGCAAGCUAGAGUCUCGUAGAGGGGGUAGAAUUCCAGGUGUAGCGGUGAAAUGCGUAGAGAUCUGGAGGAAUACCGGUGGCGAAGGCGGCCCCCUGGACGAAGACUGACGCUCAGGUGCGAAAGCGUGGGGAGCAAACA
rnacentral:rRNA from 1 species